rnacentral:rRNA from 1 species
GAUGAACGCUGGCGGCGUGCCUAAUACAUGCAAGUCGAGCGAACGGACGAGAAGCUUGCUUCUCUGAUGUUAGCGGCGGACGGGUGAGUAACACGUGGAUAACCUACCUAUAAGACUGGGAUAACUUCGGGAAACCGGAGCUAAUACCGGAUGAUAUUUUGAACCGCAUGGUUCAAAAGUGAAAGACGGUCUUGCUGUCACUUAUAGAUGGAUCCGCGCUGCAUUAGCUAGUUGGUAAGGUAACGGGUUACCAAGGCAACGAUGCAUAGCCGAACUGAGAGGGUGAUCGGCCACACUGGAACUGAGACACGGUCCAGACUCCUACGGGAGGCAGCAGUAGGGAAUGUGACGCAAUGGGCGAAAGCCUGACGGAGCAACGCCGCGUGAGUGAUGAAGGUCUUCGGAUCGUAAAACUCUGUUAUUAGGGAAGAACAUAUGUGUAAGUAACUGUGCACAGCUUGACGGUACCUAAUCAGAAAGCAACGGCUAACUACGUG